rnacentral:tRNA from 1 species
AGCUACAAGGCUCAGCUGGUAGAGUGUAAGCGCACAAAGUGCAGACGGCGUCCAUGCGUGGGUUCGAAUCCCAUUGAGGCUG